UACAGAGGUCUCAAGCGUUGUUCGGAUUCAUUGGGCGUAAAGGGUGCGUAGGCGGCGCGGUAAGUCGGGUGUGAAAUCUCGGGGCUUAACUCCGAAACUGCAUUCGAUACUGCCGUGCUUGAGGACUGGAGGGGAGAGUGGAAUUCCUGGUGUAGCGGUGAAAUGCGUAGAUAUCAGGAGGAAUACCGGUGGCGAAAGCGACUCUCUGGACGGCAACUGACGCUGAGGCACGAAAGCGUGGGGAGCAAACAGG
rnacentral:rRNA from 1 species